UACGUAGGGGGCAAGCGUUGUCCGGAUUUAUUGGGCGUAAAGAGCGUGUAGGCGGUUUGGUAGGUCCGUUGUGAAAACUCGAGGCUUAACCUCGAGCUGUCGGCGGAAACCAUCUGGCUAGAGUCCGGAAGAGGAGAAUGGAAUUCCCGGUGUAGCGGUGAAAUGCGCAGAUAUCGGGAGGAACACCCGGGGCGAAGGCGGUUCUCUGGGACGGUACUGACGCUGAGACGCGAAAGCGUGGGGAGCGAACAGG
rnacentral:rRNA from 1 species